AUUGAACGCUGGCGGCAUGCUUUACACAUGCAAGUCGAACGGUAACAGGCCUUCGGGUGCUGACGAGUGGCGAACGGGUGAGUAAUGCAUCGGAACGUGCCCAGAGGUGGGGGAUAACGCAGCGAAAGCUGUGCUAAUACCGCAUGUGAUCUGAGGAUGAAAGCGGGGGACCAAGCAGCAAUGUUUGGCCUCGCGCCUCUGGAGCGGCCGAUGUCAGAUUAGGUAGUUGGUGGGGUAAAGGCCUACCAAGCCGACGAUCCGUAGCUGGUCUGAGAGGACGACCAGCCACACUGGGACUGAGACACGGCCCAGACUCCUACGGGAGGCAGCAGUGGGGAAUUUUGGACAAUGGGCGCAAGCCUGAUCCAGCAAUGCCGCGUGCGGGAAGAAGGCCUUCGGGUUGUAAACCGCUUUUGUACGGAACGAAAAGGCUCUGGCUAAUACCUGGGGCUGAUGACGGUACCGUAAGAAUAAGCACCGGCUAACUACGUG
rnacentral:rRNA from 1 species